rnacentral:RNase_P_RNA from 1 species
GGAUAUUCGCUUGCCGAGAUUUCGGCGAGAGGAAAGUCCGGACACCACAGAGCAAAGCCCCGAUUGAAAAAUCGGAACGCUCGGGGAAAACCCGCGCGUAUGAAAAGUGCCGCAGAAAACAAACCGCCUUCGGGCAAGGGUGAAAAGGGGGGGUAAGAGCCCACCGCCGCGCGAGCAAUCGCCGCGGGUAUGGAAAACUCGGCUUGGUGCAAGACAGUGUAUGAUGCAGGGCUGCUCGUCCGACAAAGAGCAUCGGGUGUGUCGCGUCCCGCAAGGGGGCGUCGUCGGUUUCGGCGGCGCAGAUAAAUGAAUGUCGGUUGCCUCGGGCUUGCCUUGGGCAAUUACAGAAUUCGGCUUACAGCCG